GCGCCUGUAGCUCAAUUGGAUAGAGCAGGUCGGUUCUAACGAUCAGGCUGUGGGUUCGAGUCCCUCCAGGCGUA
rnacentral:tRNA from 1 species